AUUGAACGCUGGCGGCAGGCCUAACACAUGCAAGUCGAACGGCAGCACAGAAGAGCUUGCUCUUUGGGUGGCGAGUGGCGGACGGGUGAGUAAUGUCUGGGAAACUGCCCGAUGGAGGGGGAUAACUACUGGAAACGGUAGCUAAUACCGCAUAACGUCGCGAGACCAAAGUGGGGGACCUUCGGGCCUCACACCAUCGGAUGUGCCCAGAUGGGAUUAGCUAGUAGGUGGGGUAAUGGCUCACCUAGGCGACGAUCCCUAGCUGGUCUGAGAGGAUGACCGGCCACACUGGAACUGAGACACGGUCCAGACUCCUACGGGAGGCAGCAGUGGGGAAUAUUGCACAAUGGGCGCAAGCCUGAUGCAGCCAUGCCGCGUGUAUGAAGAAGGCCUUCGGGUUGUAAAGUACUUUCAGCGGGGAGGAAGGCGGUGAGGUUAAUAACCUCGCCGAUUGACGUUACCCGCAGAAGAAGCACCGGCUAACUUCGUGCCAGCCGCCGCCGUAA
rnacentral:rRNA from 1 species